UAUAUGGGCGUAAAGAGAGUGCAGGCGGUUUUCUAAGUCUGAUGUGAAAGCCUUCGGCUUAACCGGAGAAGUGCAUCGGAAACUGGAUAACUUGAGUGCAGAAGAGGGUAGUGGAACUCCAUGUGUAGCGGUGGAAUGCGUAGAUAUAUGGAAGAACACCAGUGGCGAAGGCGGCUACCUGGUCUGCAACUGACGCUGAGACUCGAAAGCAUGGGUAGCGAACAGGAUUAGAUACCCUGGUAGUCCAUGCCGUAAACGAUGAGUGCUAGGUGUUGGAGGGUUUCCGCCCUUCAGUGCCGGAGCUAACGCAUUAAGCACUCCGCCUGGGGAGUACGACCGCAAGGUUGAAACUCAAAGGAAUUGACGGGGGCCCGCACAAGCGGUGGAGCAUGUGGUUUAAUUCGAAGCUACGCGAAGAACCUUACCAGGUCUUGACAUCUUGCGCCAACCCUAGAGAUAGGGCGUUUCCUUCGGGAACGCAAUGACAGGUGGUGCAUGGUCGUCGUCAGCUCGUGUCGUGAGAUGUUGGGUUAAGUCCCGCAACGAGCGCAACCCUUGUUACUAGUUGCCAGCAUUAAGUUGGGCACUCUAGUGAGACUGCCGGUGACAAACCGGAGGAAGGUGGGGACGACGUCAGAUCAUCAUGCCCCUUAUGACCUGGGCUACACACGUGCUACAAUGGACGGUACAACGAGUCGCGAACUCGCGAGGGCAAGCAAAUCUCUUAAAACCGUUCUCAGUUCGGACUGCAAGGCUGCAACUCGCCUGCACGAAGUCGGAAUCGCUAGUAAUCGCGGAUCAGCAUGCCGCGGUGAAUACGUU
rnacentral:rRNA from 2 species